GAACUCUUUGAGUGACAAAGGGCGUGAAACAGCCCAUCCUGAUGACCUUUCCACAACGUAAUUUGCAAUGUAGAGGCCUAUAAAAGUGGCCCACAAUGAAUAUAGCGGAGAAAUUUCAUUUGAUGAUUGUGCACAUGACCCGUUGCAAGUUAACUCUCCAUAGAUGACCCAUUUGGACAAAAAGGGGUAAUCACUGGCUGACCCAACUGGAGCAAACCAAGAUUUGCAGACUUGAUCUUUCAGCUUAGUCAUGCCUACGAGUUUGGUAAGCCAAGUGUUGCCCUCUUCCUUAUUCCACAAUGAAAACCAACCAGAAUUCCUCCGACCAAAAGUUU
rnacentral:misc_RNA from 1 species